rnacentral:lncRNA from 1 species
AGCCCUUCCUCCAGCUUUGCUUUGUUUGGCUAACAUUUGUUGAAUAUGUACUCCCUGCCAGGAACUGUUAGGUCCGGACUCUGCUCUUCGGGGCCUAUAGUCAGCUGCAAAACAUUGGCUCUCCUGCCCCAUUAACUUCACUCACAGGCAGAAACGAGGGCCACAGUGGUUUACUGCCCUUGCAGCCAUAUCUCCAUCUGG